rnacentral:misc_RNA from 1 species
UACGUAGGUGGCGAACGUUAUCCGGAAUCACUGGGCGUAAAGGGUCCGCAGGCGGAGACGCAGGUCUGACGUGAAAGCUCCCGGCUUAACUGGGAGAAGCCGUUGGAAACCGCGUGUCUAGUAUCCCACAGAGGUCGGUGGAAUUCCCGGUGUAGUGGUGGAAUGCGUAGAGAUCGGGAGGAACCUCGAAAGCGAAGGCAGCCGGCUGGGUGAGGAUAGACGCUGAGGGACGAAAGUGUGGGGAGCGAACAGG